rnacentral:rRNA from 1 species
GCGUGAGUGAUGAAGGCUUUCGGGUCGUAAAACUCUGUUGUUAGGGAAGAACAAGUGCUAGUUGAAUAAGCUGGCACCUUGACGGUACCUAACCAGAAAGCCACGGCUAACUACGUGCCAGCAGCCGCGGUAAUACGUAGGUGGCAAGCGUUAUCCGGAAUUAUUGGGCGUAAAGCGCGCGCAGGUGGUUUCUUAAGUCUGAUGUGAAAGCCCACGGCUCAACCGUGGAGGGUCAUUGGAAACUGGGAGACUUGAGUGCAGAAGAGGAAAGUGGAAUUCCAUGUGUAGCGGUGAAAUGCGUAGAGAUAUGGAGGAACACCAGUGGCGAAGGCGACUUUCUGGUCUGUAACUGACACUGAGGCGCGAAA